AUUUAGUUAUAACUCCAAUAAAAGCGUUUGGUUCGAGGAUAAGCAAAAAAUGACUAUUCCAUGAAUAGUUAUAAAUUGAGGUAUAAGGGGGAAUUAGAUCAAUUUUGCGUUUGAAUAAAAAUUAGGUUAUUCCUGGGAAUAAAAAAAAUAGCGUUUGAUUAGGUAAGAUGGAAUAAGAAAGAUAGUAGGUUUUAUAAAUAAAAAAUUAUCAUAUUAUCCUCUUAUUAUAUUUGAAUUUAAAUUUUUAAAUUUUUAAAUAUAUAUUUUUAAAUUUAAAAUUUUAACUUUGAAAUUUUAAAUUUUGAAACUUAAAAUCUCAAAUUUUAAAUUCAAAAUUUUAAAUUUUAAAUUUCAAACUUUAAAUUUAA
rnacentral:lncRNA from 1 species